rnacentral:rRNA from 1 species
GUGGGGAAUAUUGGGCAAUGGGGGAAACCCUGACCCAGCGACGCCGCGUGAGGGAAGAAGGCCUUAGGGUCGUAAACCUCUGUUGUGUGGGAAGAAGAGCGUGACGGUACCACACGAGGAAGUCCCGGCUAACUACGUGCCAGCAGCCGCGGUAAUACGUAGGGGACGAGCGUUGUCCGGAUUUACUGGGCGUAAAGGGCGCGUAGGCGGUCAUUUAAGUCAGCUGUGAAAUGGUUUGGCUUAACCGGAUCAUGCGGUUGAAACUGGAUGACUGGAGUGCUGGAGAGGCAAGUGGAAUUCCCAGUGUAGCGGUGAAAUGCGUAGAUAUUGGGAAAAACACCGGUGGCGAAGGCGACUUGCUGGCCAGCAACUGACGCUGAGGCGCGAAAGCCAGGGGAGCAAACAGGAUUAGAAACCCGAGUAGUCC